rnacentral:rRNA from 1 species
GACGAACGCUGGCGGCGUGCCUAACACAUGCAAGUCGAACGAAAAGGUCCGGCCUUUGGGGGGAGGUCUACUUACCAACGGGUGAGCUACACUUGAGUAACCUGUCACUGACCUAGGGGUAACCUCAGGCAACUUGGGGUCAUAGCGCCAAGGAUCUAUCGCCUUUUGGUGGGGGCUGGAUAGUUUCGGCGGUUGGGGAGGUACUCGCGGCUUAUCAGCUGGUUGGUGGGGUAGUGGCUUACCAAGGCUUUGACGGGUAGCCGGCCUGAGAGGGUGACCGGCGACAUUGGGACUGAGAUACGGCCCAGACUCCUACGGGAGGCAGCAGUGGGGAAUAUUGCACAAUGGGCGGAAGCCUGAUGCAGCAACGCCGCGUGCGGGAUGACGGCCUUCGGGUUGUAAACCGCUUUCGCCUGUGACGAAGCGUGAGUGACGGUAAUGGGUAAAGAAGCACCGGCUAACUACGUG